AACGAACGCUGGCGGCAGGCCUAACACAUGCAAGUCGAGCGAGGACUUCGGUUCUAGCGGCGGACGGGUGAGUAACGCGUGGGAAUGUGCCCUUCUCUACGGAAUAGCCCUGGGAAACUGGGAGUAAUACCGUAUACGCCCUAUUGGGGAAAGAUUUAUCGGAGAAGGAUCAGCCCGCGUUGGAUUAGGUAGUUGGUGGGGUAAUGGCCUACCAAGCCGACGAUCCAUAGCUGGUUUGAGAGGAUGAUCAGCCACACUGGGACUGAGACACGGCCCAGACUCCUACGGGAGGCAGCAGUGGGGAAUAUUGCACAAUGGGCGGAAGCCUGAUGCAGCAACGCCGCGUGCGGGAUGACGGCCUUCGGGUUGUAAACCGCUUUCGCCUGUGACGAAGCGUGAGUGACGGUAAUGGGUAAAGAAGCACCGGCUAACUACGUG
rnacentral:rRNA from 1 species